rnacentral:rRNA from 1 species
GACGAACGCUGGCGGCGUGCCUAAUACAUGCAAGUAGAACGCACAGUUUAUACCGUAGCUUGCUACACCAUAGACUGUGAGUUGCGAACGGGUGAGUAACGCGUAGGUAACCUGCCUGGUAGCGGGGGAUAACUAUUGGAAACGAUAGCUAAUACCGCAUAAUAUUGAUUAUUGCAUGAUAAUUGAUUGAAAGAUGCUAUUGCAUCACUACCAGAUGGACCUGCGUUGUAUUAGCUAGUAGGUGAGGUAACGGCUCACCUAGGCGACGAUACAUAGCCGACCUGAGAGGGUGAUCGGCCACACUGGGACUGAGACACGGCCCAGACUCCUACGGGAGGCAGCAGUAGGGAAUCUUCGGCAAUGGACGAAAGUCUGACCAAGCAACGCCGCGUGAGUGAAGAAGGUUUUCGGAUCGUAAAGCUCUGUUGUAAGAGAAGAACGGGUGUGAGAGUGGAAAGUUCACACUGUGACGGUAUCUUACCAGAAAGGGACGGCUAACUACGUG